CGGGGUGUGGCUCAGCUUGGCUAGAGCGCUUGAUUUGGGAUCAAGAGGUCGCAGGUUCGAAUCCUGUCACCCUGA
rnacentral:tRNA from 1 species